UAACACAUGCAAGUCGAGCGGGGAUCACUUGACGAUUUAUCUGAAGGUGGAUCCUAGCGGCGGACGGGUGAGUAACGCGUAGGCAACCUGCCCUGUACAGGGGGACAACACCGGGAAACCGGUGCUAAUACCGCAUAACAUACAGCCAUCGCAUGGUGGUUGUAUCAAAGGGGAAAUCCAGUACAGGAUGGGCCUGCGUCCGAUUAGCUAGUUGGUAAGGUAAUGGCUUACCAAGGCGACGAUCGGUAGCCGAACUGAGAGGUUGAUCGGCCACAUUGGGACUGAGACACGGCCCAGACUCCUACGGGAGGCAGCAGUGGGGAAUAUUGCGCAAUGGGGGGAACCCUGACGCAGCAACGCCGCGUGAAGGAUGAAGGCCUUCGGGUUGUAAACUUCUUUGAUUGGGGAAGAAGAAAGUGACGGUACCCAAAAAACAAGCCACGGCUAACUACGUGCCAGCAGCCGCGGUAAUACGUAGGUGGCGAGCGUUGUCCGGAAUUACUGGGUGUAAAGGGCGUGUAGGCGGGGCGGCAAGUCAGAUGUGAAAUUUCGGGGCUCAACCCCGAAGGUGCAUCUGAAACUGCUGUUCUUGAGUGUCGGAGAGGAAAGUGGAAUUCCCAGUGUAGCGGUGAAAUGCGUAGAGAUUGGGAGGAACACCAGUGGCGAAGGCGGCUUUCUGGACGACAACUGACGCUGAGGCGCGAAAGCGUGGGGAGCGAACCAGGAUUAGAUACCCUGGUAGUCCACGCCGUAAACGAUGGAUACUAGGUGUAGGGGGUAUCGACCCCUUCUGUGCCGGAGUUAACACAAUAAGUAUCCCACCUGGGGAGUACGCCCGCAAGGUUGAAACUCAAAGGAAUUGACGGGGGCCCGCACAAGCAGUGGAGUAUGUGGUUUAAUUCGAAGCAACGCGAAGAACCUUACCAGGGCUUGACAUCCCCUGACCCCCUUGGAGACAAGGGUUCCCCUUCGGGGCAGGGAGACAGGUGGUGCAUGGUUGUCGUCAGCUCGUGUCGUGAGAUGUUGGGUUAAGUCCCGCAACGAGCGCAACCCCUGUUGCCAGUUGCCAUCAUUAAGUUGGGCA
rnacentral:rRNA from 1 species